CAUGCAUUAACAAGAUCUUUCUUAUUUCUAGGAAUAAAAAGAAUUGGACAAGAAAAAUCUCGUUCAUUGCCUAGCUAGCUAGCUUGGUCUCAUUUCCCAUAAAUGGAGCUGGGGAAGUAUCCCUUAUUCUCUAUUAAAAAAAAAUCUAGUUCAAGUUCUAACACAAGCAUUGAGUUAUCUGAAAGUAACCGCAUACAACCCCG
rnacentral:lncRNA from 1 species